rnacentral:rRNA from 1 species
GAUGAACGCUAGCGGCAGGCUUAACACAUGCAAGUCGAGGGGCAGCACGGUGUAGCAAUACAUUGGUGGCGAUCGGCGCACGGGUGCGUAACGCGUAUACAAUUUGCCUUAUACUGGGAGAUAGCCCGGAGAAAUUCGGAUUAAUAUCCCAUAAUAAUUUUGGUCCGUAUGGAUUGAUUUUUAAAGCUACGGCGGUAUAAGAUGAGUAUGCGUCUGAUUAGCUAGUUGGUAAGGUAACGGCUUACCAAGGCAACGAUCAGUAGGGGGCCUGAGAGGGUUAUCCCCCACACUGGAACUGAGACACGGUCCAGACUCCUACGGGAGGCAGCAGUGGGGAAUAUUGCACAAUGGGCGCAAGCCUGAUGCAACCAUGCCGCGUGUAUGAAGAAGGCCUUCGGGUUGUAAAGUACUUUCAGCGGGGAGGAAGGCGGUGAAGUUAAUAGCUUCACCGAUUGACGUUACCCGCAGAAGAAGCACCGGCUAACUCCGUGCCAGCCGCCGCAGUAAC